UACGUAGGGGGCAAGCGUUGUCCGGAAUUAUUGGGCGUAAAGAGCGUGUAGGCGGUCCGGUAAGUCAGCUGUGAAAGUCAAGGGCUCAACCCUUGAAAGCCGGUUGAUACUGUCGGGCUAGAGUCCGGAAGAGGCGAGUGGAAUUCCCGGUGUAGCGGUGAAAUGCGCAGAUAUCGGAAGGAACAUCAGUGGCGAAAGCGGCUUCCUGGACCAGUACCGACGUCAGGCACGAAAGCGUGGGGAGCAAACAGG
rnacentral:rRNA from 1 species